CCCGCUGAACUUAAGCAUAUCAAUAAGCGGAGGAAAAGAAACUAACAAGGAUUCCCCUAGUAACUGCGAGUGAAGAGGGAAAAGCUCAAAUUUAAAAUCUGGCAGUCUUUGAUUGUCCGAGUUGUAAUUUAGAGAAGUGUUACCCGUGUUGGCCCGUGUACAAGUUUCCUGGAAUGGAACGUCAUAGAGGGUGAGAAUCCCGUCUUUGACACGGACUACCAAUGCAUUGUGGUAUGCUCUCGAAGAGUCGAGUUGUUUGGGAAUGCAGCUCUAAAUGGGUGGUAAAUUCCAUCUAAAGCUAAAUAUUGGGGAGAGACCGAUAGCGAACAAGUACCGUGAGGGAAGGAUGAAAAGAACUUUGGAAAGAGAGUUAAACAGUACGUGAAAUUGCUGAAAGGGAAACGCUUGAAGUCAGUCGCGUUAGUCGGGGAUCAGCCUUCCUUUUGGUUGGUGUACUUCCUGAUUGACGGGUCAGCAUCAGUUUUGACCGGUGGAUAAGAGCUUGAGGAAUGUGGCAUCUUCGGGUGUGUUAUAGCCUCUUGUUGUAUACAUCGGUUGGGACUGAGGAACUCAGCACACCGCAAGGCCGGGUUUUUAACCACGUACGUGCUUAGGAUGCUGGCAUAAUGGCUUUAAUCGACCCGUCUUGAAACACGG
rnacentral:rRNA from 1 species